rnacentral:rRNA from 1 species
AGCCUGGAGACAGGUGCUGCAUGGCUGUCGUCAGCUCGUGUCGUGAGAUGUUGGGUUAAGUCCCGCAACCGAGCCGCAACCCUUGUCUUUAGUUGCCAUCAUUCAGUUGGGCACUCUAAAGAGACUGCCGGUGUCAAACCGGAGGAAGGUGGGGAUGACGUCAAGUCCUCAUUGGCCUUUAUGACCAGGGCUACACACGUACUACAAUGGCCGGUACAAAGGGCAGCCACUUAGCGAUAAGGAGCCAAUCCCGUAAAGCCGGUCUCAGUCCGGAUUGGAGUCUGCAACUCGACUCCAUGAAGUUGGAAUCGCUAGUAAUCGCAGAUCAGCACGCUGCGGUGAAUACGUUCCCGGGCCUU